GUCUACGGCCAUAUCACCCUGAACAUGCCCGAUCUCGUCUGAUCUCGGAAGCUAAGCAGGGUCGGGCCUGGUUAGUACUUGGAUGGAAGAAAGGGCAUGAAGGAACCUUCUGGAGCAGAGGAGA
ensembl:rRNA 5S_rRNA 5S ribosomal RNA